UCACUUUUACCCAUUUUCUAGGUUAAAUUUGAAUAACAUUUCUUCAGAUCUCUCUGAGAUAUUGGGCAAGAUAGCAGUGUUGUAUAGAUUAACCAAUUCAGGGUCUUAAAGCCAUUUGAUUCAGGGUGCAGUAUAAAUGCAAUGCAGGAUGUGCCAUAAAGCAAAAUGCUAAUUAUUGUAGGCGAUGCAGAUGCUGAUUUUAAAGGUACCAGAUGUGAAUCGUCUCUCAGCAUCAUGGGCUGGCUCCUGGAAGAAAACACGACACAUGCGAACGGUACAAACUGAGUAAAACAAAUCACUCAGAAGAAUAAAAACCACCGGGUAAGCAGAGCCACAAUUAUCCUCAGAAAAAUCAGGAUUCCACUUUCUGGAAGACAGCCAGGUGGAACGGGCAACAAAAUAUCUGCUUGGCACCACCUACUCAUUCCAGUCACGCAGCAUAUGCUGUAUUCUAGCAUGUUGGGGGCACGAUGAACUUGAACCAGGUACAGUCAUCCGUUGCAGGCUUCUCACAGCAUUCUCCCUGACGUCUAAGGCAAAACAGCAAGGAUCUGGCAAAACGUUUUGACUUUGCAGACUGUGGUGCUGUUCUCUUCAGGGGCCCUGGCUGCCCAUAUCCCCGAGAUAGAAUGAACUUUUGACUCUGGGCACAGCACAAAGUCUCAAGCUGUUCCCUGCAGGAGUGGAGAGCUCGGAUGGGGUUAAGGACUUUGGUGGCUUUCGCUAAGGCUUUAAAGGCAGCUUCACCUGCACUUGCAUCAGCAGGAAGGUCCGUGCCUGAGAAGCAGGCCGACCAGCCAAAGAUCGAAGCUCGUUCUGAAUAUGCCAUCCAGGUUCCUGGGAAUUCAGCUAUGGGGACCGAAGCCUGACAAUUGUGUUUUUCUGUAAAUGAACCCAGCAGAUUUGCCAC